UGAGGAGGAGGAGCUCUUUCCUGUGUCACUGGAAAUGGUCGUCUGUGUGCUGGUGCCAAGUGGAAGUGAGGAGAAAGGUUGAAUGCAAGAAUGGGCACCAGCCUCAUCAGCUCUGUGCUCUUCUCCACUCAGGACAGCUCCAGAGUUGAUGGAUGAAAUUCAGCUUUGCAGAUCAAUGUUCUUUUUCCACCUCAAUAUAAACUGAGUAUUGCAAAAUGAAGGGGGAAUCUGCAGCACACCCGCACAGCACAGAAAAGAAACAACACCAUGGCUCGAAAGCUUUAGUUUUGCAGUUUGGAAAGGCUAAGGUGAGCUGCCUGGGUUGUUCCUCAAAGGCUCAGAGGAAGGAGUGAGUGCAGCAAUAAAAGGCCCAGCAGGAGGAGGGAUGGAUUGAGCCAGAGCUGGCACCAAAAGUUGUUCAUGUGGAGCCAUCAUUGCUGUGUGAUCUCAUUAUCAGGUUGUACACGGGAAGAAGGAGACAAUGAGCCACUGGAAAUUCUUCUCCUGUGUCACUGGUCCCUUCCAGACCUUGUGCCAAGUCCCUCACCUCACAGCUGCUGAUAUCCUCAUCCUCAGGGUGUGUGCUGG